GCGCCCAUAGCUCAGUUGGAUAGAGCAGCGGUCUACGGAACCGCAGGUCAGAAGUUCGAAUCUUCUUGGGCGCGCCG
rnacentral:tRNA from 1 species